rnacentral:rRNA from 1 species
UCUCCUGGGAAACGGGUGGUAAUGCCGGAUGCUCCAGUUGAUCGCAUGGUCUUCUGGGAAAGCUUUCGCGGUAUGGGAUGGGGUCGCGUCCUAUCAGCUUGACGGCGGGGUAACGGCCCACCGUGGCUUCGACGGGUAGCCGGCCUGAGAGGGCGACCGGCCACAUUGGGACUGAGAUACGGCCCAGACUCCUACGGGAGGCAGCAGUGGGGAAUAUUGCACAAUGGGCGCAAGCCUGAUGCAGCGACGCCGCGUGAGGGAUGGAGGCCUUCGGGUUGUAAACCUCUUUUAUCGGGGAGCAAGCGAGAGUGAGUUUACCCGUUGAAUAAGCACCGGCUAACUACGUGCCAGCAGCCGCGGUAAUACGUAGGGUGCAAGCGUUAUCCGGAAUUAUUGGGCGUAAAGGGCUCGUAGGCGGUUCGUCGCGUCCGGUGUGAAAGUCCAUCGCUUAACGGUGGAUCCGCGCCGGGUACGGGCGGGCUUGAGUGCGGUAGGGGAGACUGGAAUUCCCGGUGUAACGGUGGAAUGUGUAGAUAUCGGGAAAAGAACACC